rnacentral:rRNA from 1 species
GACGAACGCUGGCGGCGUGCUUAACACAUGCAAGUCGAGCGGUAAGGCCCCUUCGGGGGUACACGAGCGGCGAACGGGUGAGUAACACGUGGGUGACCUGCCCUUAGCUCUGGGAUAAGCCUGGGAAACUGGGUCUAAUACCGGAUAUGACUCCAUAACGCAUGUUGUGGGGUGGAAAGCCUUGUGCGGCUAGGGAUGGGCCCGCGGCCUAUCAGCUUGUUGGUGGGGUGAUGGCCUACCAAGGCGACGACGGGUAGCCGGCCUGAGAGGGCGACCGGCCACACUGGGACUGAGACACGGCCCAGACUCCUACGGGAGGCAGCAGUGGGGAAUCUUGCGCAAUGGGCGAAAGCCUGGCGCAGCGACGCCGCGUGGGGAUGACGGCCUCGG